UAAGUCCAAUUUAGCACACAGAGCUUCCUGCAGCUUGAUCGCAAGCAGAUAAAUUGAAGCCAGUUUUCAUACACGGCUGCAAAGCUGGUGGACUGGAAGACGCUGAUGAUGUUCAGCUUUUCCUUUUAUCCUGCUUAAUGCUACCUGCAUCACAUCUUUCCAGAGGAGAACCACGGGAGCUCAGGAGACAGGAACCCAAGUACUACAAUGCUGCUGCUACUGCCAGAACCAAGGAAGAGCUCCCAUCUCACAGCUCUGAGCAGCAAACCAUGGACGGCCAGUUUCACUACCAGGACUCAGCCAGUGUAUACAAAGGAAAGCCAGGCCAAGCUGUCUGCCAGUGGCUCAUCAUAACUUGUGGAGUUCUGGCAGCAGCCUUGAAGGUAGUCUCCCCCUGGCAUACCUCACUAUGUGGGCUGAGAGAGCUCUUGAUUAGGAGAUGAGGAACAACAUCUUUGAGACUGCUGAACUGUUUCCAGCUCUGUGCGAAGGAAGGAGGACCACAGCAAAAAUGCCACUUUGCAUGGUGUACAGAGGACUAGCGCUAUGGAAAGCCAUUGCAAAGGUUUUCCAGUUACAAAGGCACACAGACUCUGUACUGACAAGCCAGAGGUGUGGUAAAUUAAUAUAAAAUGCAUUAAAUUACCUGAGAAUAUCGAAAUGUUAACCCUGCGACAGACUGGCGACCUGUCCAGGGUGUACCCCGCCUCUCGCCCUAUGACAGCUGGGAUAGGCCACAUCACACAUGGCACUAAUGAUCACAGAUGGUAUCGAAACUUGACUGUGCGCUGAGGUGGCAACCCCUAACCCUACGCAAGUAAAUUAAAGUAAAUGUAUUUGGAAAAAUGUACUUCUAAAAGUUGUUUUAAUGCACCAUGUUCAUUUACUCAUGAGCUGCUGUAACAUGAAUCAAACCUUAGUCAGAUAAUUUCAAAUUCAAAGGUUGUGCGUUUGCUGAUGUCUGAGCUGACAAUGCUUUUGUGUCGUUUGUCACACAGUGUGUUGCAAGCGGAUGUCCAGCUGUUAUGUUACAGAUUUAAAGGUAGAUUUGAAGUGCUCAGUGACGCUUGAUAAACUGCAAAUUUAAAGCUUAAAUAUGAUGUCAGUUUUAAUCACAUAUUGGGUCUACGUUCAGGAGUUGCACUUCAGUUCCAUCCUGCAGUACAUCGGCCUUCACUUGCUGGAGCUGAAGUGAAGGCCGAUGGGAUGACGCCCUGAUCCAGUUCAUGUGUGAUGAGAAACAGCUCAAGUGAACUAAGUGAAGCAUUGACUUUUUUUCCUGUUCUUUUCCUCAUUUUAUCUGCCCACUGAGUUUUCAUGCCAUGAGGACGAAGAUGAUCUGUUGUUGCUGUGACUUCAACUACACACACUUCUUGUUUAAUGUUUGACCACUAGGCUGGACUGUUGAGUAUGUACAUGAAGUGUUUCUGGAACCUUUUGAAUUCAAUGGUUAAUCAUCUGUCACACAAAACCUCUGCAUGUCCUCCUUCACUACAUCAAUGAACCUCUCUGGUUUUCAUUCUUUCUGUCCUGGCUGGCAGUCCCACUCUUUUAAAAAAAUAAAAAACAUAAAAUUUGUAUAAACCUGCAAGAAGAACACACUGUACAUCAAAUAUCUUUUUAUUUUAUUUUGCUUGUUAAAUGUGAGAAUGAGGAUGCUAAUUGUUCAAGUGUAGCUUUGAUUUUGUGUGUGUGUAUGUGUGUGUGUGCAGUGAGGACAUUGCUGCGACUUUGACCACACACACUUGUUAUAUAAUGUUGGACCAGUAGGUGUCACUGUUGUCCAUGUACAUGGAGUGUUUCUGGCGUCUGGAGAAAAUCAGAAAGAUUAAUGAACUUUUUAACACUUUAUUAAAAAAUAUUAUUGAUCUUCA